GACGUAGGGCGCGAGCGUUGUCCGGAUUUAUUGGGCGUAAAGAGCUCGUAGGCGGCUUGUCGCGUCGACUGUGAAAACCCGCGGCUCAACUGCGGGCCUGCAGCCGAUACGGGCAGGCUAGAGUUCGGUAGGGGAGACUGGAAUUCCUGGUGUAGCGGUGAAAUGCGCAGAUAUCAGGAGGAACACCGGUGGCGAAGGCGGGUCUCUGGG
rnacentral:rRNA from 1 species